GCGUUGGAAGCGUGGUAGAUUGCCGCACUUGGAAUUGUGGUUGAGUGUCUGCCUCACUUGGAAGUUGGAAGUUGCAACUUGCUGACUUGCCCACUCCAAGCCGAGAGUUGAGCCAUGGGUCCUUUGCGAAGGCAUGUGUUUCUUGGUUCCUAGACAUAAGGGCACCGCGUGAGGGUAGUUUCACAUAACAGCGACAACCUCCGGUUCUUGAUAGUGGAGGGAUAACAGACUGCUGCACCUCCAGAGCUUGGUGAGCCUUGCUCUUGAACAACAUUUUUUAU
rnacentral:SRP_RNA from 1 species